CGGCGGACGGGUGAGUAACGCGUGGGUAACCUAGCCUCAUACAGGGGGAUAACAGUUGGAAACGGCUGCUAAUACCGCAUAAGCGCACAGUACCGCAUGGUACGGUGUGAAAAACUCCGGUGGUAUGAGAUGGACCCGCGUCUGAUUAGGUAGUUGGUGGGGUAACGGCCUACCAAGCCGACGAUCAGUAGCCGACCUGAGAGGGUGACCGGCCACAUUGGGACUGAGACACGGCCCAA
rnacentral:rRNA from 1 species